UAUGUAUUUAAAAAAGGAAAUAAAAUAUUUACAAUAAAUAAUUUCAUCAUGUAUCAUAAAUUUACAAUUUCAAAUCUAAUUAGAGUUUUAAAAUCAAAUCAAGUUACAAACUAAGAAUAAAGGCAAAAAUAAAUUACAAUAAAAAUUAAAUCAGAUCAAGUCAUGCUAUGUUGACUUUGUUCACUGCCAAACUCUGCUAUAUUGAUGAUGACUGCCAUUGAUGCACAAGCCAUGCUUAUUGAUACAUAUGUUCCUGUUUUAACUAAUUAGAGAAACAUAAAAACAUUUUUUUUAAGUCAGUCUUGGUACACUUUGUGCAGAACAAAGAGACAAUUUUUUGAGUUUAAAAAAAAGAAACUAAAAGACAAAUAAAAGCUCAGCAAUGAACAGAUCAGAACAAAUAAUCUAAAACUAUGAAGGCAUCAGAGAUGCAGAAAAAUGCAGAUGAUGAGCAAAGAAAACGAAACAUCAAACAAAGAACUAGAAAGCUCAAACUCAAACAGAGACACAACCAAGAAAACAAUUAAACAGAUAAAAAAACUCUAUAAAUACAUCCUUUUUUUUUUUUACAAACGGAGGAGAAAUCUGAGAUUAAUAUUGAUGAAAAACACAUAAAAAGAAAGAGAAGAAGAAGAAACAGAAAGCAUCAUAGUCGUUUCAACUUCCACCGCGAACCACCGUCUCUGUCUUCAUCGGUAUCUGAAAAGGCAUGUAUCUUCUCAUUAUCUUCAUGUUUGCUGCUUAGAUUGGAAGCUAAAAUUUAAAUUUAAAAGAUGAAAUUUUAUUUUGUUUGUGUGGAUGUUGAUUUUGGUUGAGAUCAUUUUAGUUGUGAUAGUAAAGCUUAAAACUGGUUUUAUUUUCUAUUGGAUGCUUAGCUUCAGAUUUUCCAAUUUGUGCCAAGAUUGCUUUUUUUGUUGUUGAUAGGCUUUAGGAAAGCACGCUUGCUUGCCAGCCUGUAUGAAUGGCUGCUGCCAGGCUGUUCACGAUACUUUUGAUUUCCUAUUAGUUGUUCACGAUACUUUUGCAUUCCUAUUAGCUAGUCUUGCUAGUCAUUAUAUUCCCAUAACUUAUUUAAUUAAUAAAACUUC
rnacentral:lncRNA from 1 species